CAUUGAGAAGCUAAAAUAAGCAUUAACCUUUUAAGUUAAAGACUGAGAGCACCCUCUCCUCAUUGA
rnacentral:tRNA from 1 species